rnacentral:rRNA from 1 species
UACAGAGGGUGCGAGCGUUGUUCGGAAUUAUUGGGCGUAAAGGGCGCGUAGGCGGCAGGUCAAGCGUGUGGUGAAAGCCCGGGGCUCAACCCCGGGUCGGCCAUGCGGACUGGCGUGCUUGAGCACUGUAGGGGCGGGUGGAAUUCCGAGUGUAGAGGUGAAAUUCGUAGAUAUUCGGAAGAACACCAGUGGCGAAGGCGACUUACUGGACACAUAUUGACGCUGAGGUGCGAAAGCGUGGGGAGCAAACAGG